rnacentral:rRNA from 9 species
AACUUUUAACAACGGAUCUCUUGGUUCUCGCAUCGAUGAAGAACGUAGCAAAGUGCGAUAACUAGUGUGAAUUGCAUAUUCAGUGAAUCAUCGAGUCUUUGAACGCAUCUUGCGCUCAUUGGUAUUCCAAUGAGCACGCCUGUUUCAGUA